GGCCUGGUGGCUCAGUUGGUUAGAGCGCCGCCCUGUCACGGCGGAGGUCGUGGGUCCGAGUCCCAUCCGGGUCG
rnacentral:tRNA from 1 species